rnacentral:rRNA from 1 species
CGAGGGUGCAAGCGUUAUCCGGAAUCAUUGGGUUUAAAGGGUCCGUAGGCGGGUAAUUAAGUCAGAGGUGAAAUCCCACAGCUUAACUGUGGAACUGCCUUAGAUACUGGUUAUCUUGAGUUUUAGUGAAGUAGAUAGAAUGUGUAGUGUAGCGGUGAAAUGCAUAAAUAUUACACAGAAUACCGAUUGCGAAGGCAGUCUACUAACUAACAACUGACGCUAAUGGACGAAAGCGUGGGGAGCGAACAGGAUUAGAUACCCCAGUAGUCC